rnacentral:rRNA from 1 species
GAGUUUGAUCCUGGCUCAGAGUGAACGCUGGUGGUAGGCNUAACACAUGCAAGUCGAACGGCAGCACAGGAGAGCUUGCUCUCUGGGUGGCGAGUGGCGGACGGGUGAGGAAUACAUCGGAAUCUACUCUGUCGUGGGGGAUAACGUAGGGAAACUUACGCUAAUACCGCAUACGACCUACGGGUGAAAGCAGGGGAUCUUCGGACCUUGCGCGAUUGAAUGAGCCGAUGUCGGAUUAGCUAGUUGGCGGGGUAAAGGCCCACCAAGGCGACGAUCCGUAGCUGGUCUGAGAGGAUGAUCAGCCACACUGGAACUGAGACACGGUCCAGACUCCUACGGGAGGCAGCAGUGGGGAAUAUUGGACAAUGGGCGCAAGCCUGAUCCAGCCAUACCGCGUGGGUGAAGAAGGCCUUCGGGUUGUAAAGCCCUUUUGUUGGGAAAGAAAUCCAGCCGGCUAAUACCUGGUUGGGAUGACGGUACCCAAAGAAUAAGCACCGGCUAACUUCGUGCCAGCAGCCGCGGUAAUACGAAGGGUGCAAGCGUUACUCGGAAUUACUGGGCGUAAAGCGUGCGUAGGUGGUCGUUUAAGUCCGUUGUGAAAGCCCUGGGCUCAACCUGGGAACUGCAGUGGAUACUGGGCGCACUAGAGUGUGGUAGAGGUAA